GGGAAUGAGUAUCGAUCCGGAGUCUGGAUUUGACUCACCAAAGUGUCAAUGCCGAAACAAUGGUCCGGAGUGGCUGCUUUCGUUCACCCCUGGUUAGUCAUCUACAUCCUCUGGGCAGCUUCCUUCACUCCCACCAGAUGCUAAAAGGAGAGUCCCAUGAGAUAUUACUGGCACCCCUAUGCAUUCCUGUAAUCUCCUAGGAUAGA
rnacentral:lncRNA from 1 species